rnacentral:misc_RNA from 1 species
AGGGGAAGGAGGUUCCGGGGGGCCCCCCCAACCCCAGGAGGUUGAGGUAAAAUACCUUGAACCGGAUGCCGCCGAAUAGGGCGCGCAAUGGGUUUAAAGAUUGAUGAUUCACUGAAUUCUGCAAUUCACAUUACUUAUCGCAUUUCGCUGCUUCUUCAUCGAUGCCAGAACCAAGAGAUCCGUUGUGAAAGUUUUGAUUAUUUGUCUUUCAGGCUCAGAGAUACUGAAAAAAUAAGAGUUUUGAACCUCCGGCGGCUGCCCGCCGAAGCAACGACAGAGGUUAUGUUCACAGGGUUGGAGUUUUUCAACUCAGUAAUGAUUUCCCUUCCACCUAAUGGGGGAUGACUCCGGGGGGAGAAGUACAGCAACGGGGAGGAAACAUAAGAGGUGGUGCGGGGGGGAGGACAGCGGGAGGGUAAAAAAUCGGAGUGUUUCCAGUAGCUCUGAGCCUGAAAGACAAAAAAUCAAAACUUGCAAAAAACGGAUAUUUUGGUUGGGGCAUGAUGAAAGAACGGAGGGAAAAGAGAGAAGUAAUGUGAAGUGCAGAAUAAGGUGAAGUAUUCGAAUUCUUUGAACGCACAUUGCGCCCGCCCGAAUUCCGGCGGGCAGGCCUGUUCGAGCGUCAUUUCAACCCUCAAGCCUUCGGCUUGGUGUUGGGGCGCCCCGCCCCCCCACCUGCCCCGGCGCCAAACGGGCUUCGGGGGGAUCACUCCUCCCCCCCCCCGACACGCAGGGAGCGGCCAGAACCACACGUUGCCCAAUCCAGGGAACGGCCCCGCCGGAGCCCCGCCCGAGAAUCGGAUGACCGCGCCUGGCCGCCGUCGCCCCCCCGGCGGGCGCACCGCAGGGCAAAGGAGAAAAAAACCAAGGGACGAAAAAACACCCCCAGCCGAUCAGGUCACCCC